ACCAAGGCUGCGAUGGGUAGCCGGCCUGAGAGGGUGAUCGGCCACAUUGGGACUGAGAUACGGCCCAGACUCCUACGGGAGGCAGCAGUAGGGAAUUUUGCGCAAUGGACGAAAGUCUGACGCAGCAACGCCGCGUGAGCGAUGAAGGUCUUCGGAUCGUAAAGCUCUGUUGAGUGGGAAGAAACGUCUCGGGGUUAAUAUCUCCGAGGCCUGACGGUACCACUCGAGGAAGCUCCGGCCAACUACGUGCCAGCAGCCGCGGUAAUACGUAGGGAGCGAGCGUUGUUCGGAAUCACUGGGCGUAAAGGGAGUGCAGGCGGAAAGGUAAGUCAGAAGUGUAAUCUACGGGCUUAACCCGUAUCUCGCUUUUGAUACUGCUUUUCUGGAGUAGUGGAGAGGGAAACGGAAUUCCAGGUGUAGCGGUGGAAUGCGUAGAUAUCUGGAAGAACACCAGUAGCGAAGGCGGUUUCCUGGCCACAUACUGACGCUGAGGCUCGAAAGCGUGGGGAGCAAACAGGAUUAGAUACCCUGGUAGUCCACGCCGUAAACGAUGGGCACUAGAUAUCGGGGAAUUCGAUUUCUUCGGUGUCGCAGUUAACGCGAUAAGUGCCCCGCCUGGGGAGUACGCCCGCAAGGGUGAAACUCAAAGGAAUUGACGGGGGCCCGCACAAGCGGUGGAGCAUGCGCUUUAAUUCGAUGCAACGCGAAGAACCUUACCUGGGUUUGACAUGGGAGUGAAAGUUCCUAGAGAUAGGAACCUUUCCUUCGGGAACACUCCACACAGGUGCUGCAUGGUUGUCGUCAGCUCGUGUCGUGAGAUGUUGGGUUAAGUCCCGCAACGAGCGCAACCCUCGCCCUUAGUUGCCAUCAGGUAAUGCUGGGAACUCUAGGGGGACCGCCUGGAACAACCAGGAGCGAAGGUGGGGAUGAUGUCAAAUCAUCAUGGCUCUUACGUCCAGGGCUAGACGCGUGCUACAAUGGUCGGUACAGAAGGAUGCCAAGUCGUGAGACCGAGCUAAUCCAUGAAANCCGGCCUCAGUUCGGAUUGGAGUCUGCAAUUCGACUCCAUGAAGGUGGAAUCGCUAGUAAUCGCGGAUCAGCAUGCCGCGCUGAAAUGUUCCCGGGCGUUGACACACCGCCCGUCAAGCCGCGAAAGAUGGGAGUACCCGAAGUCGC
rnacentral:rRNA from 1 species